GUGUCAGCAGCCGCGGUAAUACAGAGGCCCCAAGCGUUACUGAGAAUCACUGGGUUUAAAGGGUGCGUAGGUGGCGCGUUAAGUCCGUUGUGAAAGCCCUGGGCUCAACCCAGGAACUGCUUCGGAUACUGGCGCGCUUGAGGCUAGUAGAGGUCACUGGAACUGACGGUGGAGCGGUGAAAUGCGUAGAUAUCGUCAGGAACGCCAAUGGUGAAGACAGGUGACUGGGCUAGAUCUGACACUGAGGCACGAAAGCGUGGGGAGCGAACGGGAUUAGAAACCCCGGUAGUCC
rnacentral:rRNA from 1 species